UAUACUGGAUGGAGCUGAAACCAUCUACAGCCAUUGACAUUGGAAGAAGAACCACAGACAGCCAUCUAGAAAGACCCAAAUGCUCUAAGGUAAAAGCUGCUCCCUCAUGUUACCUUAAGCAGUAGUCUACAGACUUUUUUUACACCAAAACUACAGUAAGAAGUAAGACUUCACACAUCUCAGCACACACACGUAUACACGUACAUACAGCAAAUGGAAUAUACUGUUCCAUAACAAUAUAUUAGAUAUUCCAUAACAAUAUAUGGAAUAUAUAUUGCUUAUGUUCAAAUGCCUAUGAAUAUUCAAAAUUUAUGCCAGGCACUGUGGCUCAUGCCUGUAAUCCCAGCACUUUGGAAGCUGAGAUGGGCAGAUCACUCAAGCCCAGGAAGUUGAGACUAGUCUGGGCAACAUAGCAAACCCUGUCUCUACAAAAAAUACAAAAAAAUUAGCUGAGUUUGGUGGCGUGCACCUAUAGUCCCAGCUACUCAGGAGGCUGAAGUGGGAGGAUCGCUUGAACCCAGGAGGCGGAGGUUGCAGUGAGCAGAGAUCACACUACUGCACUCCAGCCUGGGUGACAGAGUGAGACCCUGUCUCAAAAAAAAAAGUAAUUAAAUUUAUCAAGUAUUCCCAAUUCUAUUUACAUCUCUAAAACUAUCUUAAGUGUGAUGGGCCAUGGCAGUGGUGAAAUCAUGCAAAUAAUGAAUUUUAUGAUAAUAAGAUAUUUUAGGAUAUUUUCAUAAAACUGAACUAUAAAUUAAUCAAUGAUUAACUAUUAACUAAUCAACUAUUUUAUUUUAGUAUAUCUUAUAAACACAUACUAAAAUAUUCUUACCUUAAAUAUGUGCCAUAUAUGAAGAAUAAUGCCAUCAUUAGUCCAUUUAAAAUAAAAAUUACAGCAACAUAAAAGCAAGCAGGAUCUCCCAAUCCUUUAAAAAUAAACAAAACAUAUGUUCUAAUCACAUUAACCCAAAUUACCUUACGUGUCUAGCAAUUUAUAUUAAAUUGUGUUCAUUUUGAAAAUGGUUGCCAGAUAUAUUAAAUAGCUGCCUUGGUUCCCACAUGAAAACACAACACUACUGCAGAACAUAGAUGAGACCAGGGUAAUUAGCAAUGAUGGUUUUAAAACAGGGCUGCAAAUUCACUGAUACGCCUCCUCUGGAGGUAUGGGGUCUAUAGCCCCCAUUUUUGAGUUUCAUUGGGCUUGUGACUCUUUCAACAGAGUAUGGCAGAAGCAACACUAUGUGACUUCUGAGGCUAGGUCAUAAGAGGUCAUACAGUGUCCAGCUUGGAGCCUUCAGCUGCCAUAGGAAAAGCCUUACUACUACUCUGAGGUACUUUGCUUUCAAAAAGCCCAAGUCACCCCGAAAGGCCACAUGUAGGUGUCCCAGCUGAGAGUUCCAGCUGAGCUCAGCCUCACAGUCCUCCAUGCCCAGGAGCCAAAA
rnacentral:lncRNA from 10 species